UACGUAGGGUGCGAGCGUUGUCCGGAAUUAUUGGGCGUAAAGAGCUCGUAGGCGGUGUGUCACGUCGGCCGUGAAAACCUGCAGCUUAACUGUGGGCGUGCGGUCGAUACGGGCAUCACUGGAGUUCGGCAGGGGAGACCGGAAUUCCUGGUGUAGCGGUGAAAUGCGCAGAUAUCAGGAGGAACACCGAUGGCGAAGGCAGAUCUCUGGGCCGUAACUGACGCUGAGGAGCGAAAGCGUGGGGAGCGAACAGG
rnacentral:rRNA from 1 species